GACGAACGCUGGCGGCGUGCUUAACACAUGCAAGUCGAACGGAAAGGCCCUGCUUUUGUGGGGUGCUCGAGUGGCGAACGGGUGAGUAACACGUGAGUAACCUGCCCUUGACUUUGGGAUAACUUCAGGAAACUGGGGCUAAUACCGGAUAGGGGCUCCUGCUGCAUGGUGGGGGUUGGAAAGUUUCGGCGGUUGGGGAUGGACUCGCGGCUUAUCAGCUUGUUGGUGGGGUAGGGGCUUACCAAGGCUUUGACGGGUAGCCGGCCUGAGAGGGUGACCGGCCACAUUGGGACUGAGAGACGGCCCAGACUCCUACGGGAGGCAGCAGUGGGGAAUAUUGCACAAUGGGCGGAAGCCUGAUGCAGCAACGCCGCGUGCGGGAUGACGGCCUUCGGGUUGUAAACCGCUUUCGCCUGUGACGAAGCGUGAGUGACGGUAAUGGGUAAAGAAGCACCGGCUAACUACGUG
rnacentral:rRNA from 1 species